GACGAACGCUGGCGGCGUGCUUAACACAUGCCAGUCGAACGCUGAAGCCCUGGCUUUUGUUGGGUUGGAUGAGUGGCGAACGGGUGAGUAACACGUGAGUAACCUGCCCUCUUCUUUGGGAUAACGCCCGGAAACGGGUGCUAAUACUGGAUAUUCACUGAUCUUCGCAUGGGGGUUGGUGGAAAGGUUUGUUCUGGUGGGGGAUGGGCUCGCGGCCUAUCAGCUUGUUGGUGGGGUGAUGGCCUACCAAGGCUGUGACGGGUGGCCGGCCUGGGAGGGUGACCGGUCAGAUUGAGACUGAGAUACGGCCCAGACUCCUACGGGAGGCAGCAGUGGGGAAUAUUGCACAAUGGGCGAACGCCUGAUGCAGCGACGCCGCGUGAGGGAUGGAGGCCUUCGGGUUGUAAACCUCUUUCGCUCAUGGUCAAGCCGCAACUGUGGGUUGUGGUGAGGGUAGUGGGUAAAGAAGCGCCGGCUAACUACGUG
rnacentral:rRNA from 1 species